rnacentral:rRNA from 1 species
AUGUUUGAUACAAAGAAAAAAUUGAAGUAUGCGGUGAUAAAGUGGGCUAUGUCUACACACAGGGUUUUCCGGACACACAUAUCAAGUCCAACAAACUAUACUGUGACAUGUGUUGAAACAGGUUGUCCUGGGAAGGUGCACGGGCAUGUGCCGAAGUAUGACAUCCACUGGGUUGUCACCAUUGUUGUCCCACAUAAUUGUGUGAGGAAGAACCUACUGGUGAAGCAUCCGAACCUGACUUCAAGUCUCAUUGCGUGA